GACGUACGCUGGCGGCGUGCUUAACACAUGCAAGUCGAACGGAAAGACCCUGCUUUUGUGGGGUGCUCGAGUGGCGAACGGGUGAGUAACACGUGAGUAACCUGCCCUUGACUUUGGGAUAACUUCAGGAAACUGGGGCUAAUACCGGAUAGGAGCUCCUGCUGCAUGGUGGGGGUUGGAAAGUUUCGGCGGUUGGGGAUGGACUCGCGGCUUAUCAGCUUGUUGGUGGGGUAGUGGCUUACCAAGGCUUUGACGGGUAGCCGGCCUGAGAGGGUGACCGGCCACAUUGGGACUGAGAUACGGCCCAGACUCCUACGGGAGGCAGCAGUGGGGAAUAUUGCACAAUGGGCGGAAGCCUGAUGCAGCAACGCCGCGUGCGGGAUGACGGCCUUCGGGUUGUAAACCGCUUUCGCCUGUGACGAAGCGUGAGUGACGGUAAUGGGUAAAGAAGCACCGGCUAACUACGUG
rnacentral:rRNA from 1 species